ensembl:lncRNA
AAAGUGAGCUCAGCAGAGGCAUAUGAUAGGAGUGAUCUUUCAGUCUGACAAUGUCUAGUGAAAGCUGGUAUACUGAGGUGCAGGGGCUCUGUAGCAGUGCACUGAAUCUCUCAAAAACAUGUUAAUGUGAGAUCACAGCUUAGGUUCUGUGGGAUGAGGGGUGUCAGGCUUGCACUGACAGAAAUGGUUACAUGUACUCUUAGAAAACAGCCUCUGCUGUCUGGAAGUGAACUUGCUGUUUGCAGUUCUUUCCAGAAAUGGAACAUCCUUGCAGAAGCUGCUGAAUUGCAGUGGGGUUGUAACAGCUAGCUGUGGGUUUGGGUCCCUCGGCAGCUGAAAUUCCCUUUGUUCGCUUAAUCUGAUGCUUUAAGAGACAUAGUGCCAGCCACUACUGCUUGGUUUUGAGGUGGUGUGUGAAAUGUAAUUGCUGCAUGUAUAUUUACUUAUUAAAUAUACUUGUAGGAAAUCCUGAUUUAGCAUCUGCAAAGAUUUCUGUUAAGUAUUGGUAAUGUCUUGGAUGUGGUAAGCGUGCUUGGUAGGUGGGUACUGAGCUGUGGAAGGAGGUUGGGGUUGGGCUGAACACAGCACCGAUAGGCCCCAGGCACUUGUACCACGUUUGUUGUUGUGUCGCAGGAAAAGGGCACCUGAGCUGGGAAAAGGAGCAAACAGAUGAUGUUCAACUUCCAUAGCCCUGCUUGGUGCUUCCGGUGUUGUGCUGUGAUGCUUCAGUUCCUGGCAUCCGAGCCGCAGCUACAGGAUUUUGAGGAGACGCUAUCGGCAUAUGUAAUAAAUUAAUGGGAUUUAAUGAACCCAGAGUAGCCCCAAAAGGGAGGAAGCGUGUUGCAGUGUGAUGGAUGCAUCUGAGCCAUCAGUUGCGGUCCUCACUGUGUCAGCCUUCAAGGCAGCUGCUCUGGGGCAAUACAGGGACCACCCAAAAGUCAGGCUGUGUGUCCAGAUGCUUCUUGAACUCCAGCAGCUUGGUGGCAUGGUCACUACCCUGGGCACCCUGUUCCAGCUCCUGGUGAAGAACCUUUUCCUGAUACCCAACCUGACCCUUUUUGGACUUUGGCACACAAAACUGCAGACAGUUGAGUUUCCAUGCCACCUGUGAGGAUUUCACUCUCCGACUUCCCACUUGGGUGUUCGUUAUGUAUGGCCUGCAUAGGAAGCAUUCUUAUAUGUUGCACGUGGAUACUGCAGAAACAUUCAAAGUGCAAGAAGAUGUGACUUCAGAGGGGACGUGGUUGCAAAUUCAGAUGUCUGCCAAAUCACACUGGCAGGAUUCAGACCUUCAGGUGUCUGUGCACAAACUUCCAUGGCUGUAUCUUAAGAUUUAAAGAGGAUACCUAUAUUACUGUUGUCAACCCAACAGUUGGAUUGGGUUUGCUGGGUUGGGGUGGCCGGCAGCCUGUUAAAUUUGGAAAUGUUGUCUACUUGUUUCUUUGCACUUACUUAAAGGUAUGCCUGGGGACAGUGAUAGAGCUUUUUUUCUGUACCAGAUUUGCAGAGGUUUUAGGUAGUAUCUCUUGAGGCUGGGGCAGGGGGUGUACAAUGAGUGCUUCAUUAAAACAGCAAUAAAUUGCACCAGUGUGUGCAUUUACAGG